rnacentral:rRNA from 1 species
UAGGGAAUCUUCCGCAAUGGACGAAAGUCUGACGGAGCAACGCCGCGUGAGUGAAGAAGGAUUUCGGUUCGUAAAACUCUGUUGUUAGGGAAGAAAAAAUGUAUAGUAACUAUAUACAAAAGAGACGGUACCUAACCAGAAAGCCACGGCUAACUACGUGCCAGCAGCCGCGGUAAUACGUAGGUGGCAAGCGUUGUCCGGAAUUAUUGGGCGUAAAGCGCGCGCAGGUGGUUUAGAAAGUCUGAUGUGAAAGCCCACGGCUCAACCGUGGAGGGUCAUUGGAAACUAAUAAACUUGAGUGCAGGAGAGAAAAGUGGAAUUCCUAGUGUAGCGGUGAAAUGCGUAGAGAUUAGGAGGACCACCGGUGGCGAAAGCGGCUUUUUGGCCUGCAACUGACACUGAGGCCCGAAAGCGUGGGGAGCAAACAGG